rnacentral:rRNA from 1 species
UACAGAGGUCUCAACCGUUGUUCGGAUUCAUUGGGCGUAAAGGGUGCGUAGGCGGCGGGGUAAGUCAGGUGUGAAAUCUCGGGGCUCAACCCCGAAACUGCACUUGAUACUGCCUCGCUUGAGUACUGGAGAGGAGACUGGAAUUUACGGUGUAGCAGUGAAAUGCGUAGAUAUCGUAAGGAAGACCAGUGGCAAAGGCGAGUCUCUGGACAGUUACUGACGCUGAGGCACGAAGGCCAGGGGAGCAAACGGG